CGUCUCCAUCGCCGGUUCGUCUCCAUCGUCACUGGUCUCAAACAGGCCUUGAUCCACAUGUCGAUUUUUGAGAAUUUGUUUCUUCUUCUACUGAUUAUAGGAUUCAAAUUUACUUGUUUCCAUUCCAGAUUUCUUGUUAGGGUUUCAUUGCAUCUCCUCAUCUCCAUCACACCUCGUUCUCUCUCUCGUCUCCGGUGGCAAGGCGGAGCAGCGUCGAAGGCGGUUCUCAUUGGUGGAUUCUAGCAAAGGGCAAGCAAUGGUUCGAGAUUUGGUUUUCUCUUGUAUUGUUGUUGGUGGAAGGCACAAGUAUUUGAGCAAUGGUCUUGAACAUGAAACCUCCAGAGAUCUUAUCGGUCUGUACAAGCAAAAAAGAAUGGUGAAAGAAACUAUUAUUGACUCAUUGUUGGAGAUUAACUACGGAAGACGUUUGAGAAUCGUGAGCAUGAGCUGCUAAGAGGAGGUAGCAAAAGCGUGGUCGUUAGCCUCUGGGACAUUAGGUUUAGAGGGUGUGUGACUGGAAGACGGCGACGUUAGAGAACUCGUUAUUACGGCGUCGGUCGUGGUGUGGUGCGGGCGUAAGGAGAUAGAACUUUAGGUAUAGAAUUUUGUGUAUAGGUUUUUUUUUUUUGAAAAGAAGUUUGUAAACAAUUUCGAUAUAUAAAUUUUAAAAUUAUA